AUCCGACUGACGAGUUCUAAGUUGAACGAAAUGUGCGUCUUGGAU
rfam:Schistosoma margrebowiei strain Zambia genome assembly, scaffold: SMRZ_scaffold0000670